UACGAAGGGGGCUAGCGUUGUUCGGAAUUACUGGGCGUAAAGCGUAUGCAGGCGGAUCGUUAAGUCGGGGGUGAAAUCCCGAGGCUCAACCUCGGAACUGCCUUCGAUACUGGCGAUCUUCGAGUCCGGGAGAGGUGAGUGGAACUCCGAGCGUAGAGGUGAAAUUCGUAGAUAUUCGGAAGAACACCAGUGGCGAAGGCGGCUCACUGGCCCGGUACUGACGCUGAGAUACGAAAGCGUGGGGAGCAAACAGG
rnacentral:rRNA from 1 species